GCUCCCGUAGCUCAGUAGGAUAGAGCGUUCGCCUCCUAAGUGAAAGGCCGCUGGUUCGAAUCCAGCCGGGAGCACCA
rnacentral:tRNA from 1 species